rnacentral:rRNA from 1 species
AUGGCGGCCACGGGUGGGCACGGCGGCUUUGGCAACGGGGGGCAGGGGAAAAGAGUGGAAUCGGCGCGGCGCUCACCGUGGAGCUCGGUAGCAUGCUCGGGGAGGCUGGAGGCAGAUCAGAGCGAUGGCAACGACGGCGAGGUGGUGACGGCCACGGCGGAGAAGACUCGCGAUGGCGAGCUUGACGACGGCCUGGUGACGAAUCGAAGGUUGUAG